CGCGGGAUGCGCGGCGGCGGGAGUCCCACUUCCUGCCUCCGACGCGACCUGCCCGCGGGGACCGGCCGGCGCGCAGACACCGCGCGGCUUGCGGCGCGCCCGGGGGACCUGACUGCUUCCGCGGCGCCGGCGCUCAGCCGCGUCCCGGGCUUUGCCGGGCUCCCUGCACGGGGUUCGCCUCCGGCGUCAGGAGAACAGUGAGAAAACUCGCCUCGCUUUCCGUCAGCCCCAGACAAUUAGGUGACAGGAACGCCACACCGUGAAUCCCGUCUCUAAACACAGGCCCUCUGGUUUAGACGAGCUAAACAGCGUCUUGAGGUGUUCUCCAGAGCCCAGAACAACCGGUCGGAGAGGACAUUGCCUUCGAAAGUGACAGUUCUAGAACAGACAUUUAAAAACUACUGAAUUUUAAGUCUGCAUUGAUGAUUUUUCAAGUGUUAAUUGUUAAAUUUUCAAAUUGGAUUUUUGAAAACUGGAUAUGUGCGCAUGACCCCAAGAGACCCGUUUCCAUACGAGGCCAGGAAUCAGGACCUGCCAUCUUGAAGGGUCACCGUUUGGCCUACCGCAGAUAAGGACAGCAUUCCUGUUUGCAUGGAGCAACAAAGGUGGCUUUGAAAGGGAAGAAAGAUGGAUUGUGCAUCCCCAAGGCUUUGGGCUGGAUGAAGGAUAGCGGCUCCAUUUAACAAGUGUCUGCUGUGUGUCCUCAGCUGUGAUCUCAUCCGCCCCGCCACCCUGCUCCUUAGGAAUAAAGAUGACCAUUUUACACGCCAGGAAGUGAGGCUUGUAAAGGCCGAGACAUGGAGGAAUGGGAGUUGGAGCCGCCUGACAGCAGCGUCUAAGACCUUUCAA